AUUUGUAUAAUUUUCUCUAACAAUUCACUCUCCAUGCCGACAUCACAUUAAAUGUUAAUUUUGCUUAGAUUGGAAUCAAAUUGUUAAUCAAAUAAUCAGUUAACCUGAGUGGAUUCUCGGUAAGUAUGAACCUGGUAGCCAGUUUUUCUAGGACCUGUGGCGCAGUUGCUGUUAAUGUUUCGACUCAGUGCUCGCACAGUGGUAAAUUUAAUGGCUGAACCUUUGAAUUGUACCUUGAAGCAUGAAAUUGACUAUUCGAGACAAGCACCGAGAUUGCGCCUGUCGUGCUGGGUGGGAGAAGUGGUAGAGAAAGUCGAAGCCGAAGCCGAAGCCGGAGCUGAAACGGAAACGGAAACUGUAGCAAAGGCAAUGCUAAAGUUUGACAUCAAAUCAAACCAAUAAACCAACAAAACUGAGCAACUUCAGCCACUUGCACAAGCCAAAAACACUUUCGCUGCAGAACAACUAUCAAACUGCAGGCAUUUAUGACAGCCGAAUCGGACAACGGGAGGAGGGGCUAGCAGUGAGGGGCAUGGCGGGUACUUUGAGUACAUCGGCUCGAUUGAGUCAUGGGAGGAGUGUGGUUAUAGCUGGCAAAUCGCAUAACGAAAUUGUUGCUGAAAAGUUCUGCAAAUAUUGGGGUCAGCAAAAUUCUGUGAGACGGUCCUGUAGGCGCCUUUUGUUGUUGCACACGCUCAAGGAAAGAUUGCAAAUUGCAAGCGAGAAGUCCCCGGAGUCUAAUAAUACAGUAAAAACAAGAGCUUUAAAGGAGCACUGAGAGACAUCGAAUAUGCAAUACACUACAAUACAAGAUAC